CCCAUAACUUACCUUUUUUUUAAAUAACAUAAAAACAAAAAAAAAUCUCUGAUGUUUUCAAAGGGUAAAAAUCCUAAAGGGUAAAUGCCACAAAUCCCUAUUGGUUUCUCCGUCAGUGCUAGUUCUUUCACUGGUAAAGAAGAUUGCUGCAUUGUGACCGAGGACAGCAACGACAAAAUGAUGAUGAAGGAAUAUUAAGGGAAUCCCCCAAACACAUUGGGGAAGAAGCUGCUACUUUGGAUUAUAGCAGGGCAGGUUACUUUGUAUAUGAAUGCAAUACAUGUAACGAGAUUUUUGUUCAUUUCAA